AAACGAACGCUGGCGGCAGGCCUACCCCUUGCAAGUCGAACGCCGUAGCAAUACGGAGUGGCAGACGGGUGAGUAACGCGUGGGAACAUGCCCUUUGGUUCGGAAUAACUCAGGGAAACUUGAGCUAAUACCGGAUAAGCCCGAGAGGGGAAAGAUUUAUCGCCGAAGGAUUGGCCCGCGUCCGAUUAGCUAGUUGGUGAGGUAAUGGCUCACCAAGGCGACGAUCGGUAGCUGGUCUGAGAGGAUGAUCAGCCACACUGGGACUGAGACACGGCCCAAACUCCUACGGGAGGCAGCAGUGGGGAAUAUUGGACAAUGGGCGCAAGCCUGAUCCAGCCAUGCCGCGUGAGUGAUGAAGGCCCUAGGGUUGUAAAGCUCUUUCGCCAGGGACGAUAAUGACGGUACCUGGAUAAGAAGCCCCGGCUAACUUCGUG
rnacentral:rRNA from 1 species